GACGAACGCUGGCGGCGUGCCUAAUACAUGCAAGUAGAACGCUGAAGGAGGAGCUUGCUCUUCUGGAUGAGUUGCGAACGGGUGAGUAACGCGUAGGUAACCUGCCUGGUAGCGGGGGAUAACUAUUGGAAACGAUAGCUAAUACCGCAUAAGAGUAGAUGUUGCAUGACAUUUACUUAACAGGUGCAGUUGCAUCACUAACAGAUGGACCUGCGUUGUAUUAGCUAGUUGGUGGGGUAACGGCUUACCAAGGCGACGAUACAUAGCGGACCUGAGAGGGGGAGCGGCGACGCUGGGUCUGGGACACGAACCGGAACCUUACGAGAGGCAGCAGUAGGGAACUUUCGGCAAUGGAAGGAAGUGUGACCGUGCAACGACGCGUGAGUGAAGAAGGUUUUCAGAUCGUAAAGCUCUAUUGUAAGAGAAGAACGAAUGUGAGUGUGGAAAGUUCACACUGUGACGGUAUCUUACCAGAAAGGGACGGCUAACUACGUG
rnacentral:rRNA from 1 species